rnacentral:rRNA from 1 species
AGGGACUAAGCGUAUACGGUGGAUGCCUUGGCAGUUAGAGGCGAUGAAGGACGUGUAAGUCUGCGAAAAGCUGUGGUGAGCCGACAAAAUGCAUUUGAGCCACAGAUGUCCGAAUGGGGAAACCCACCUAUUUAUAGGUAUCGUUACAUGAAUAUAUAGUGUAACGAGGCGAACGAGGGGAACUGAAACAUCUAAGUACCCUUAGGAAAAGAAAUCAACCGAGAUUCCCCUAGUAGCGGCGAGCGAACGGGGAUUAGCCCUUAAGCAAUUAUGAACGUAGUGGAAGCCUCUGGGAAGUGGCGCGAUACAAGGUGAUAGCCCUGUACACGAAGUGUUUGUUUUUGUGAAAUCGAGUAGGUCGGGACACGUGUUAUCUUGACUGAAUAUGGGGGGACCAUCCUCCAAGGCUAAAUACUCCUAACUGACCGAUAGUGAACCAGUACCGUGAGGGAAAGGCGAAAAGAACCCCUGUGAGGGGAGUGAAAUAGAACCUGAAACCGUAUACGUACAAGCAGUGGGAGCAGACUUGUUCUGUGACUGCGUACCUUUUGUAUAAUGGGUCAGCGACUUAUAUUUAGUAGCAAGGUUAAGCGAAUAGCGGAGCCGUAGCGAAAGCGAGUGUUAACUGCGCGUUUAGUUGCUAGGUAUAGACCCGAAACCCGGUGAUCUAGCCAUGGGCAGGUUGAAGGUUGAGUAACAUCAACUGGAGGACCGAACCCACUAACGUUGAAAAGUUAGGGGAUGACUUGUGGCUGGGGGUGAAAGGCCAAUCAAACCGGGAGAUAGCUGGUUCUCCCCGAAAUCUAUUUAGGUAGAGCCUCGGACGAAUUCCAUUGGGGGUAGAGCACUGUUAAGGCUAGGGGGUCAUCCCGACUUACCAACCCUUUGCAAACUCCGAAUACCAAUGAGAACUAUCCGGGAGACACACGGCGGGUGCUAACGUCCGUCGUGAAGAGGGAAACAACCCAGACCGCCAGCUAAGGUCCCAAAAUAUUGCUAAGUGGGAAACGAUGUGGGAAGGCAUAGACAGCUAGGAGGUUGGCUUAGAAGCAGCCACCCUUUAAAGAAAGCGUAAUAGCUCACUAGUCGAGUCGGCCUGCGCGGAAGAUGUAACGGGGCUAAGCAAUAUACCGAAGCUGCGGAUACGUGUUUACACGUAUGGUAGGGGAGCGUUGUGUAAGUGGAUGAAGGUGGAUUGAGAAGUCUGCUGGACAUAUCACAAGUGCGAAUGCUGACAUGAGUAACGAUAAUGGGAGUGAAAAACUCCCACGCCGGAAGACCAAGGUUUCCUGUCCCAUGCUAAUCAGGGCAGGGUAAGUCGGCCCCUAAGGCGAGGCAGAAAUGCGUAGUCGAUGGGAAACGGAUUAAUAUUUCCGUACUUAUAUAAUCAGUGAUGGAGGGACGGAGAAGGCUAAGCAAGCUUGGCGUUGGUUGUCCAAGUGAAAGCAAGUAGGCCGAGUGUUUAGGUAAAUCCGGACGCUUAAAGCUGAGAUGCGAGACGAGCUACUACGGUAGUGAAGUUGUUGAUGCCCUGCUUCCAGGAAAAGCUUCUAAACUUAUGAUUAUAUGAACCGUACCCCAAACCGACACAGGUGGUCAGGUAGAGAAUACUAAGGCGCUUGAGAGAACUCGGGUGAAGGAACUCGGCAAAAUUGUACCGUAACUUCGGGAGAAGGUACGCCCUUGUUUGUGAUAGGACUUGCUCCUUGAGCAGAUGAGGGCCGCAGUGACCAGGUGGCUGGGACUGUUUAUUAAAAACACAGCACUCUGCUAACUCGCAAGAGGACGUAUAGGGUGUGACACCUGCCCGGUGCCGGAAGGUUAAUUGAUGGGGUUAUCUUCGGAGAAGCUCUUGAUCGAAGCCCCGGUAAACGGCGGCCGUAACAAUAACGGUACUAAGGUAGCGAAAUU